rnacentral:lncRNA from 1 species
AGCUCUUUUGCUACAUGCAUUAGAAUGUGAGCAACAGAGGGAUACCCGAGACUCCAAGGCAUGCAUGUUGUGAAGGAUGCAAUUCAUUGCUUGAGGUCUUGAGUGAUCCUUUGCAAAGCAACCGACAAAAUUUGGAG